rnacentral:tRNA from 1 species
GCCGAUGUAGCUCAGUGGCUAGAGCAACUGAUUCGUAAUCAGUAGGUCGGAGGUUCAAAUCCUCUCAUCGGCU